rnacentral:rRNA from 1 species
AACGAUGUGGGAAGGCCCAGACAGCCAGGAUGUUGGCUUAGAAGCAGCCAUCAUUUAAAGAAAGCGUAAUAGCUCACUGGUCGAGUCGGCCUGCGCGGAAGAUGUAACGGGGCUAAACCAUGCACCGAAGCUGCGGCAGCGAACGUAUCACCCAAGACAACUUUACGGAGUUGACGAUUGACGGAGCGAAGCGACGUCAAAGCGUUCAUUAAAGUCGAGUUGGCUUAGGGAUACGUUCGUUGGGUAGGGGAGCGUUCUGUAAGCCUGUGAAGGUGUGUCGUGAGGCAUGCUGGAGGUAUCAGAAGUGCGAAUGCUGACAUAAGUAACGAUAAAGCGGGUGAAAAGCCCGCUCGCCGGAAGACCAAGGGUUCCUGUCCAACGUUAAUCGGGGCAGGGUGAGUCGACCCCUAAGGCGAGGCCGAAAGGCGUAGUCGAUGGGAAACGGGUUAAUAUUCCCGUACUUGGUGUUACUGCGAAGGGGGGACGGAGAAGGCUAUGUUGGCCGGGCGACGGUUGUCCCGGUUUAAGCGUGUAGGUGUGUGUUCCAGGUAAAUCCGGUUCACUUUAACACUGAGGCGUGACGACGAGGCACUACGGUGCUGAAGCAACAAAUGCCCUGCUUCCAGGAAAAGCCUCUAAGCAUCAGGUAACACGAAAUCGUACCCCAAACCGACACAGGUGGUCAGGUAGAGAAUACCAAGGCGCUUGAGAGAACUCGGGUGAAGGAACUAGGCAAAAUGGUGCCGUAACUUCGGGAGAAGGCACGCUGACACGUAGGUGAAGUGAUUUACUCAUGGAGCUGAAGUCAGUCGAAGAUACCAGCUGGCUGCAACUGUUUAUUAAAAACACAGCACUGUGCAAACACGAAAGUGGACGUAUACGGUGUGACGCCUGCCCGGUGCCGGAA